rnacentral:lncRNA from 1 species
AAACUCCCCAUUACCAGGCGAUAAGAAGGGAAGGGAUCUAGCAUUUGUUAGAUACCUAAGGUCUCCCAGCCAGGCACUUCCCAUACCGCAUUUAAGCCUCGCAACACCCUACCAGCUGUUACCAUCCCCUUUUUACCGCAGGGGGAAACCGAGUCUGUAACUUGUUGAUCUGUAUGGAGAUUGGAUCCCUGACCCUCUGACCUCUUUUUAGUGAGGGAUUAGAGAAGAGGGCAAGCCUCAAGGGGCCGCUUGGGCCGGCAUACCCUGGAUCGAGCCUGCGAUCUCACUGGGGCACUUGAGGACGUCCGGGGCUAUUACAAAUAUUGCUUCCAAGUUGGGGCUCCUUGUAAAACCCGGCGAAGGAGCCUCGGGGCCAGAAGGCGAGCAGGAGGAGGGGGAAGACUGAUGUGGCAAUCCUGCGGCCAGAGCGAGAGGAGGAAGGAAGGUCAGGAAAUGAUUAACCGGGCCGGGCAGUGGUUAGAGCCGGGCACCUCCCCGCAAUGCAGUCCUAGAGCAGCCAGGGACGCCCCGUCAAUCACUUCUUACUCCUCCCUACCUCCCACGCCACAAGUCGGCCUCUUCCGCAUAGACCUCUGCCUAAUGGUAUCCACCCACCGGGGGCACCUCUGCUCAUCCUUUCCCCAGAAGUAUUUCUGGGUCCUCAAAGAUCUGUCCUUUUCCAAGUGGUAUUUGCUGUUAGAGCAAGCCUCGGCCUGGGAUUUUUAUGGCAGUGAUGCGUUGUGGAAAGUGCGUCUGCCUAGGAAGGCAGGCCGGCAUGCUUUCAAAUCUUAGCUCUGCUGCCUACUUGACGGCCAGGCUUAGCAAGCGUCUCUAGCCGUUCCAAGCCUUUUCUAGAUCUGUAAAACUGGAAGAAGAAUACUUGUCUCGCAAGGAACAUGUGAGAAUUCAUGAAAAUUGCCACCACAUACUAGGUGGCCAAUAAAUUAUAACUUUGUAUUUGUUUUUACU